rnacentral:rRNA from 1 species
UGCAGUCGGACGGGAUUGGGGAGCUUGCUCCCCAUGAGAGUGGCGCACGGGUGCGUAACACGUAUGCAACCUACCUUUACCAGGGGGAUAGCCUCUCGAAAGAGAGAUUAACACCGCAUAACAUUGAGCUAUGGCAUCAUAGUUUAAUCAAAUAUUUAUAGGGUAAAGAUGGGCAUGCGGAACAUUAGCUAGUUGGUAAGGUAACGGCUUACCAAGGCGACGAUGUUUAGGGGAUCUGAGAGGAUGACCCCCCACACUGGUACUGAGACACGGACCAGACUCCUACGGGAGGCAGCAGUAAGGAAUAUUGGUCAAUGGGCGCAAGCCUGAACCAGCCAUGCCGCGUGCAGGAAGACGGCCCUACGGGUUGUAAACUGCUUUUGUACGGGAAUAAACCUCUCUACGUGUAGAGAGCUGAAUGUACUGUAAGAAUAAGGAUCGGCUAACUCCGUGCCAGCAGCCGCGGUAAUACGGAGGAUCCAAGCGUUAUCCGGAUUUAUUGGGUUUAAAGGGUGCGUAGGCGGCUUUUUAAGUCAGGGGUGAAAGACGGCAGCUCAACUGUCGCAGUGCCUUUGAUACUGAAGAGCUUGAAUACACUUGAAGUAGGCGGAAUGUGACAAGUAGCGGUGAAAUGCAUAGAUAUGUCACAGAACACCAAUUGCGAAGGCAGCUUACUAAAGUGUGAUUGACGCUGAGGCACG